GUGCCAGCCGCCGCGGUAAGACGUAGGGGGCGAGCGUUGUCCGGAUUCAUUGGGCGUAAAGCGCGCGCAGGCGGCCGCGUAAGUCGGAUGUGAAACCCCGGGGCUCAACCCCGGGCCUGCACCCGAUACUGCACGGCUAGAGGUAGGUAGGGGAGAUCGGAAUUCCUGGUGUAGCGGUGAAAUGCGCAGAUAUCAGGAGGAACACCGGUGGCGAAGGCGGAUCUCUGGGCCUUACCUGACGCUCAGGCGCGAAAGCUAGGGGAGCGAACAGGAUUAGAAACCCCUGUAGUCC
rnacentral:rRNA from 1 species